AUUGAACGCUGGCGGCAGGCCUAACACAUGCAAGUCGAACGAGUGGCGGACGGGUGAGUAAUGUCUGGGAAACUGCCCGAUGGAGGGGGAUAACUACUGGAAACGGUAGCUAAUACCGCAUACCAUCGGAUGUGCCCAGAUGGGAUUAGCUAGUAGGGGGGGUAACGGCUCACCUAGGCGACGAUCCCUAGCUGGUCUGAGAGGAUGACCAGCCAACCUGGAACUGAGACACCGGCCAAACUCCUACGGGAGGCAGGCGGGGGGAAUAUUGGCAAAAGGGGGCAAGGCCUGUGGCGCCCUUGCGCGUGUAUUAAGGAGGCCCUCGGGUUGUAAAGUACUUUCAGCGAGGAGGCGUUACUCGCAGAAGAAGCACCGGCUAACUCCGUGCCAGCCGCCGCGGUAAUAC
rnacentral:rRNA from 1 species